GGAAUAUUGGACAAUGGGGGCAAGCCUGAUCCAGCCAUGCCGCGUGCAGGAUGACGGUCCUAUGGAUUGUAAAUUGCUUUUAUACGGGAAGAACACUCCUUCGUGUAGGAUCUUGACGGUAUUGUAAGAAUAAGGAUCGGCUAACUCCGUGCCAGCAGCCGCGGUAAUAGCGGAGGAUCCAAGCGUUAUCCGGAAUCAUUGGGUUUAAAGGGUCCGUAGGCGGUUUAAUAAGUCAGUGGUGAAAGCCCAUCGCUCAACGGUGGAACGGCCAUUGAUACUGUUAGACUUGAAUUAUUAGGAAGUAACUAGAAUAUGUAGUGUAGCGGUGAAAUGCUUAGAGAUUACAUGGAAUACCAAUUGCGAAGGCAGGUUACUACUAAUGGAUUGACGCUGAUGGACGAAGGCGUGGGUAGCGAACAGGAUUAGAUACCGUGGUAGUCCACGCCGUAAACGAUGGAUACUAGCUGUUGGUAGCAAUCUCAGUGGCAAGCGAAA
rnacentral:rRNA from 1 species